rnacentral:lncRNA from 1 species
CCGCCAUCUCUGGGCACAUCACGUGAUCGGCCCAAAUUAAUUACCAUCACCCGGAACCCUAAGGGUGGGUAGGGGCAGGAGCAAUACAUAGGGGGGGCAGUGGGCUUGUUGUUGCUACUAGUACGGUACCUUUGAUGAGGCGCAGGUCGCCGUCGAGAACGGCCUGCAGGAGCGGGUGGCGAGGCUCCGUCGCCGUCUCCCUGUUGUCCAUGGCGGCACGGGCCAGCGGCCGGAGAAGACGGCGGGUCAGCAGCACUCGAGAUUCUUGACUCCAGUCAAGCAGCCGCUGUGGAGAGU